rnacentral:rRNA from 1 species
AGCGAACGCUGGCGGCAGGCCUAACACAUGCAAGUCGAACGAACUCUUCGGAGUUAGUGGCGGACGGGUGAGUAACACGUGGGAACGUGCCUUUAGGUUCGGAAUAACUCAGGGAAACUUGUGCUAAUACCGAAUGUGCCCUUCGGGGGAAAGAUUUAUCGCCUUUAGAGCGGCCCGCGUCUGAUUAGCUAGUUGGUGAGGUAAAGGCUCACCAAGGCGACGAUCAGUAGCUGGUCUGAGAGGAUGAUCAGCCACAUUGGGACUGAGACACGGUCCAAACUCCUACGGGAGGCAGCAGUGGGGAAUCUUGCGCAAUGGGCGAAAGCCUGACGCAGCCAUGCCGCGUGAAUGAUGAAGGUCUUAGGAUUGUAAAAUUCUUUCACCGGGGACGAUAAUGACGGUACCCGGAGAAGAAGCCCCGGCUAACUUCGUG